AGGACGAACGCUGGCGGCGUGCUUAACACAUGCAAGUCGAGCGGAAAGGCCCUUCGGGGUACUCGAGCGGCGAACGGGUGAGUAACACGUGAGUAACCUGCCCCUAGCUCUGGGAUAGCUCCGGGAAACCGGGAUUAAUACCAGAUACGACCACUUUAGACAUCUGUCGUGGUGGAAAGGAUUCCGGCUAGGGAUGGGCUCGCGGCCUAUCAGCUUGUUGGUGGGGUAACGCCUACCAAGGCGACGAC
rnacentral:rRNA from 1 species